rnacentral:rRNA from 1 species
AACUUAAAGGAAUUGACGGAAGGGCACUACCAGGAGUGGAGCCUGCGGCUUAAUUUGACUCAACACGGGGAAGCUCACCCGACCAGGACACCGGAAGGAUUGACAGAUUAAGAGCUCUUUCUUGAUUCGGUGGGUGGUGGUGCAUGGCCGUUCUUAGUUCGUGGAGCGAUUUGUCUGGUUAAUUCCGUUAACGGACGAGUCUCUAGCCUGCUAAAUAGGCGACCCGAUCAACUCCGUCGGGCGUUCUUCUUAGAGGGACCAGCGGCUCUUAGCCGCACGAGACAGAGCAAUAACAGGUCUGUGAUGCCCUUAGAUGUCCGGGGCCGCACGCGCGCUACACUGAAGGAAUCAGCGUGUGUUUUCCCUGUCUGGUAGGACUGGGUAACCCGCUAAACCUCCUUCGUGAUAGGGAUAGGGGCUUGUAACUGUUCCCCUUGAACGAGGAAUUCCCAGUAAGCGCGAGUCAUCAGCUCGUGCUGAUUACGUCCCUGCCCUUUGUACACACCGCCCGUCGCUACUACCGAUUGAAUGAUUUAGUGAGGUCCUCGGACUGGCGCUCGGAGCGACCCUCGGGCUGCGCCGACGUGCCGGAAAGAUGACCAAACUUGAUCAUUUAGAGGAAGUAAAAGUCGUAACAAGGUUAACGUA